GUGCUCGCUUCGGUGGCACAUAUACUAAAAUUGGAAUGAUACAGGGAAGAUUAGCAGGGCCCCUGCACAAGGAUGACAUGCAAAUUUAUGAAACAUUCCAUAUUUUU
rnacentral:snRNA from 1 species